AACAGGAUUAGAUACCCUGGUAGUCCACGCCGUAAACGAUGUCGACUUGGAGGUUGUUCCCUUGAGGAGUGGCUUCCGGAGCUAACGCGUUAAGUCGACCGCCUGGGGAGUACGGCCGCAAGGUUAAAACUCAAAUGAAUUGACGGGGGCCCGCACAAGCGGUGGAGCAUGUGGUUUAAUUCGAUGCAACGCGAAGAACCUUACCUACUCUUGACAUCCAGCGAACUUAGCAGAGAUGCUUUGGUGCCUUCGGGAACGCUGAGACAGGUGCUGCAUGGCUGUCGUCAGCUCGUGUUGUGAAAUGUUGGGUUAAGUCCCGCAACGAGCGCAACCCUUAUCCUUUGUUGCCAGCGAUUCGGUCGGGAACUCAAAGGAGACUGCCGGUGAUAAACCGGAGGAAGGUGGGGAUGACGUCAAGUCAUCAUGGCCCUUACGAGUAGGGCUACACACGUGCUACAAUGGCGCAUACAAAGAGAAGCGACCUCGCGAGAGCAAGCGGACCUCACAAAGUGCGUCGUAGUCCGGAUCGGAGUCUGCAACUCGACUCCGUGAAGUCGGAAUCGCUAGUAAUCGUGGAUCAGAAUGCCACGGUGAAUACGUUCCCGGGCCUUGUACACACCGCCCGUCACACCAUGGGAGUGGGUUGCAAAAGAAGUAGGUGGCUUAACCUUCGGGAGGGCGCUUACCACUUUGUGAUUCAUGACUGGGGUGAAGUCGUAACAAGGUAACC
rnacentral:rRNA from 1 species